AUGGACCUCACUGAAAAUGAGCAGUAUACUGGUAUUUGGAAUGAUUCUCCAGUUGUGCUGCCUAGGUCCCACCUGAACUACAUCUCAGGAGCGUUGUUAACUCAGAUGCUACAACAGCAGCCGAACAUUCAAACAGUGCUCCCCACAUUACAUGAUGAAACAUCGAGCAGAAGACAACAAAGUAUGAGGAUAUUCAUAUGGCUCAGACAUCCAAGGAAGGAAUUAGCAGCAUUAGCUCUCAAGCCUGGCUGGGCGAAAGAUCUUAGGCGGCAUCUGCGAAUGUUUUGA
rnacentral:rRNA from 1 species